UUAAUUGAAGAGUUUGAUCAUGGCUCAGAUUGAACGCUGGCGGCAGGCCUAACACAUGCAAGUCGAGCGGCAGCACAGAGGAACUUGUUCCUUGGGUGGCGAGCGGCGGACGGGUGAGUAAUGCCUGGGAAAUUGCCCGGUAGAGGGGGGAUAACCAUUGGAAACGAUGGCUAAUACCGCAUAACCUCGCAAGAGCAAAGCAGGGGACCUUCGGGCCUUGCGCUACCGGAUAUGCCCAGGUGGGAUUAGCUAGUUGGUGAGGUAAGGGCUCACCAAGGCGACGAUCCCUAGCUGGUCUGAGAGGAUGAUCAGCCACACUGGAA
rnacentral:rRNA from 1 species